rnacentral:miRNA from 1 species
CGCUCCUCGAGGCCAGAGCCC